CCCUGGUACCGGCUUUUAUCACAGAUAGACCAGAUCUUUGAUAGACCAGGGUGCAUUUAUUUUCUCUUCUUUUCCCUUUUACACAAUAAUAAGGUUUUUUCAUCCAAGAUGGGGGGGGGGUGGAAAUAGGCAGGGAGCAGAGAGGAGGGCUGACAUAUACAGCCCAUGGAGAGCUUUGAGAGGAGCGCGAUUCCCAAAGCUGUAAUUACUGCCUGCGUUUUUUUGGCUACAGAUCUGCUGCUAAAUUGGUUGGAAGGCACGGAAAUGGCAGUUACACCUUUCAGCAGGAAAAAAAUGUGCUUUGGUGGAGAAACAUGCCUUGGGAAACCCUCCGAAAAUCUGCAACCCCCAUCUAGCACCCCAGCCUUACAGAGCCCUCCAGGAACUGGAAAAUCCAGAUUUGCUGCAUCUCCCAGGGAGACAAUUUCCUACGUGCCCCCCCCCAGCACGAGGGUCCUACUGAAGGUUAAACUUGUGAGUGCCCCUGGUUUUGCACUGAUUUAAUCUCCCCCCCCCUAAAUAAAAGACAUGGGAAAUGCUGGUGAAAACUGCA